GGAGACCCGCUAUCUACAU
rnacentral:siRNA from 1 species